rnacentral:lncRNA from 1 species
CGCCCCAACAUGCAGGAGGUCGUCUCCGCUCUACAAGCCCUCCAAGACGCCGCCGCCAAGGACGCCUCCUCCGCCCCCCCCGUCGCUGCCGCCAGGGCCCCGUGGCCCGCCGCCGGCGCCAGCCCCCACCGGUACAGGCACUCCAGCAGGGCUGUGAAUGGGAUGGGCGUCGCUUACCCCCGCCCCUCCGCUUCCCCCCUACGCGCCUAGGCCCCCCCCCGGCCCCCCCCCCCUGCUUUUUCCGGCGGGAGCUGUAAAUUUUUGAGCUCGGCUCGGAAGUGCCCAUCUGCUGUCAGGGAAGGACGAACAGGAAGAAGACGACGACGGCUCCACUGGGCAGACGAGCCCACCGUCUGUUCAUCGACUGCUGUACAGUUUCAUUGAGACGGUGGCCACCACCUGCUUGUGCCUGCUUGAUUAACCCC